rnacentral:rRNA from 1 species
CGAGUUUGAUCAUGGCUCAGGAUGAACGCUAGCGGCAGGCCUAACACAUGCAAGUCGAGGGGUAGAGAUUGCUUGCAAUCUUGAGACCGGCGCACGGGUGCGUAACGCGUAUACAAUCUGCCUCUUACCGCGGGAUAGCCCAGGGAAACUUGGAUUAACACCGCAUGGCAUCCGGCCACCGCAUGGCGGCUGGAUUAAAGGUUACGGUAAGAGAUGAGUAUGCGUCCUAUUAGCUAGAUGGUAAGGUAACGGCUUACCAUGGCGACGAUAGGUAGGGGCCCUGAGAGGGGGAUCCCCCACACUGGUACUGAGACACGGACCAGACUCCUACGGGAGGCAGCAGUGAGGAAUAUUGGACAAUGGGCGCAAGCCUGAUCCAGCCAUGCCGCGUGCAGGAAGACGGCCCUAUGGGUUGUAAACUGCUUUUGUACGGGAAGAAACACCACUACGCGUAGUGGCUUGACGGUACCGUAAGAAUAAGGAUCGGCUAACUCCGUG